rnacentral:rRNA from 1 species
ACCCUGUAGUCCCUUGCUGUAACCGAUCCCUACUAGCUUGUCCGGAUUUAUCCGGACGGGCGCAAGCUAACGCGUUAAGUAGGGCGCCUGGGGAGUACCGACCGCAGGUUAAACUCAAAGGAAUUGGCGGGAGGCGUACAACCAGUGGAGCAUGUGGUUCAAUUCGAUACAAAGCGUAGGCCCUUACCUGGGUUUGACAUUCUAUCGUACGUAUCUGGUGAAAAUCAGAUUCCUUCAGGUAGAACAGCUACUGCAUGGUUGUCGUCAGCUCGUGUCGUGAGAUGUCCGCUUAAGUGCGGUAACGAGCGCAACCCUCGUCCCGAGUUAAAUGUUUUCGGGAGACUGCUCCGGUUAAACCGGGGAGGAAGGAGAGGACGACGUCAAAUCAGCACGGUGCUUAUAUCCAGGGCAACACACAUCCUACAAUGGUUAGUACAAUGGGUUGCGAAACAGUAAUGUGGAGCUAAUCCCCAAAAACUGACCUCAGUUCAGAUUGAGGGCUGCAACUCGCCCUCACGAAGACGAAAUUGGUAGUAAUCGCGGGUCAGCAGACCGCGGUGAAUACGUUCUCGCCUCUUGCACACACUGCCCGUCAAGCGAGGAGAGUUGGGGGUGCCCGAAGUUGUUUUUUCAACCUUAUUUUUUAGGGAAGGAAGACACCUAAGGCAAACUCAGCGAUCAGCACUAAGUCGUAACAAGGUAGCC